rnacentral:rRNA from 1 species
GGGGGAUAUUGCACAAUGGAGGAAACUCUGAUGCAGCAACGCCGCGUGAGGGAAGACGGUUUUCGGAUUGUAAACCUCUGUCCUUGGUGACGAAACAAAUGACGGUAGCCAAGGAGGAAGCUCCGGCUAACUACGUGCCAGCAGCCGCGGUAAUACGUAGGGAGCAAGCGUUGUCCGGAUUUACUGGGUGUAAAGGGUGCGUAGGCGGCUCUGCAAGUCAGGUGUGAAAACUAUGGGCUUAACUCAUAGAUUGCACUUGAAACUGUGGAGCUUGAGUGAAGUAGAGGCAGGCGGAAUUCCCGGUGUAGCGGUGAAAUGCGUAGAGAUCGGGAGGAACACCAGUGGCGAAGGCGGCCUGCUGGGCUUUAACUGACGCUGAGGCACGAAAGCAUGGGUAGCAAAC